rnacentral:rRNA from 1 species
GAAUGCGUUCCCGGGUCUUGUACACACCGCCCGUCACACCACGGGAGUUGGAGACGCCCGAAGCCGAUUAUCUAACCUUUUGGAAGAAGUCGUCGAAGGUGGAAUCAAUAACUGGGGUGAAGUCGUAACAAGGUAGCCGUAUCGGAAGGUGCGGCUGGAUCACCUCCUUUCUAAGGAGAAUU